rnacentral:rRNA from 1 species
GACGAACGCUGGCGGCGUGCCUAAUACAUGCAAGUCGAACGCAGUGGGUACGGGUGCGUAACCCGUGGGUCACCUCCCAUCAGAAGGGAUCACACUUGGAAACAGGUGCUAAACCGCUACUGGUGGCUGGACCCGCGGUGCAUUAGCUAGUUUGUGAGGUAACGGCUCACCAAGGCCACGAUGCAUAGCCGACCUGAGAGGGUGAUGGGCCACACUGGGACUGAGACACGGCCCAGACUCCUACGGGAGGCAGCAGUAGGGAAUCUUCGGCAAUGGACGAAAGUCUGACCGAGCAACGCCGCGUGAGUGAAGAAGGUUUUCGGAGCGUAAAACUCUGUUGUUAGAGAAGCGGUAUCUAACCAGAAAGCCACGGCUAACUACGUGCCAGCAGCCGCGGUAAUUC